UACGGGGGGAGCAAGCGUUGUUCGGAUUUACUGGGCGUAAAGGGCGCGUAGGCGGUCAGCACAAGUCAGUUGUGAAAUCUCCGGGCUUAACUCGGAACGGUCAACUGAUACUGUGCGACUAGAGUGCAGAAGGGGCAACUGGAAUUCUCGGUGUAGCGGUGAAAUGCGUAGAUAUCGAGAGGAACACCUGCGGCGAAGGCGGGUUGCUGGGCUGACACUGACGCUGAGGCGCGAAAGCCAGGGGAGCGAACGGG
rnacentral:rRNA from 1 species